rnacentral:rRNA from 1 species
GAUGAACGCUGGCGGCGUGCCUAAUACAUGCAAGUCGAGCGAACAGACGAGGAGCUUGCUCCUCUGACGUUAGCGGCGGACGGGUGAGUAACACGUGGAUAACCUACCUAUAAGACUGGGAUAACUUCGGGAAACCGGAGCUAAUACCGGAUAAUAUAUUGAACCGCAUGGUUCAAUAGUGAAAGACGGUUUUGCUGUCACUUCUAGAUGGAUCCGCGCCGCAUUAGCUAGUUGGUAAGGUAACGGCUUACCAAGGCGACCAUGCGUAGCCGAACUGAGAGGGGGAUCGGCCACACUAGAACUGAGACACGGACAAGACUCCUACGGGAGGCAGCAGUAGGGAAUCUUACGCAAUAGGCGAAAACUUGACGGAGCAACGCCGCGUGAGUGAUGAAGGUCUUCGGAUCGUAAAACUCUGUUAUUAGGGAAGAACAAAUGUGUAAGUAACUAUGCACGUCUUGACGGUACCUAGUCAGAAAGCCACGGCUAACUACGUG